UUAAAAAGCUCGUAGUUGGAUUUCUGGUACAAUGCGCCUGGCCCGCGGCAGCAAUGCCUGUGAGUGCCGGUGCGCGUUUGCCAUCCUUCUAGAAAACGUUUCUACCCUUCACUGGGCCGGACUCGCGAUCUAGAUCUUUUACUUUGAAAAAAUUAGAGUGUUCAAAGCAGGCUUUUGCUGUGAAUACAUUAGCAUGGAAUAAUAAUCUAGGACUUCGGUUCUAUUUUGUUGGUUUCUAGUACUGAAGUAAUGAUUGAUAGGGAUAGUUGGGGGUGCUAGUAUUGGCCGGCCAGAGGUGAAAUUCUUGGAUUCGGUCAAGACUAACUUAUGCGAAAGCAUUCACCAAGGAUGUCUUCUUUAAUCAAGAACGAAAGUUGGGGGAUCGAAGACGAUCAGAUACCGUCGUAGUCUCAACCAUAAACUAUGCCAACUAGGGAUGGGUGAACGUUGCUUUUCGACUUCAUCUGCACCCUUAUGAGAAAUCAAGUCUUUGGGUUCCGGGGGGAGUAUGGU
rnacentral:rRNA from 1 species